AGCUCAAAUUUGAAAUCUGGCUCCUUCGGGGUCCGAGUUGUAAUUUGUAGAGGGUGUUUCGGGUGCGAUGCCGGUCUAAGUUCCUUGGAACAGGACGUCGUAGAGGGUGAGAAUCCCGUAUGCGACCGGCGAUCAAGCCCGUGCGAAGCCCCUUCGACGAGUCGAGUUGUUUGGGAAUGCAGCUCAAAAUGGGUGGUAAAUUUCAUCUAAAGCUAAAUACUGGCCAGAGACCGAUAGCGGACAAGUAGAGUGAUCGAAAGAUGAAAAGCACUUUGGAAAGAGAGUCAAACAGUACGUGAAAUUGUUGAAAGGGAAGCGCUUGCAAUCAGACCGGUCCGGAGGCGAUCAGCCGCUGCUCGUCAGCGGUGCACUCGCCUGCGAUCCGGCCAGCAUCGGUUUGGGCGGCGGGAUAAAAGUCCCGGGAAUGUAGCUUCCUCCGGGGAGUCUUAUAGCCCGGGUCGCAAUGCCGCCCGCCCGGACCGAGGACCGCGCUUCGGCUAGGAUGCUGGCGUAAUGGUUGCAAGCGACCCGUCUUGAAACACGGACCAAGGAGUCUAACAUCUAUGCGAGUGUUUGGGUGUCAAACCCAGGCGCGGAAUGAAAGUGAACGGAGGUGGGAACCCGUCAGACGGCGCACCAUCGACCGAUCCAGAUGUCUUCGGAUGGAUUUGAGUAUGAGCAUAGCUGUUGGGACCCGAAAGAUGGUGAACUAUGCCCGGAUAGGGUGAAGCCAGAGGAAACUCUGGUGGAGGCUCGCAGCGGUUCUGACGUGCAAAUCGAUCGUCAAAUCUAGGCAUAGGGGCGAAAGACCAAUCGAACCAUCUAGUAGCUGGUUCCUGUCGAAGUUUCCCUCAGGAUAGCAGUAACGUUUUCAGUUUUAUGAGGUAAAGCGAAUGAUUAGAGGCCUUGGGGCUGAAACAGCCUUAACCUAUUCUCAAACUUUAAAUAUGUAAGAAGUCCUUGUUACUUAGUUGAACGUGGACAUUUGAAUGCACCGUUACUAGUGGGCCAUUUUUGGUAAGCAGAACUGGCGAUGCGGGAUGAACCGAACGCGAGGUUAAGGUGCCGGAAUGCACGCUCAUCAGACACCACAAAAAGUGUCAAUUCAUCCAGACAGCCGGACGGUGGCCAUGGAAGUCGGAAUCCGCUAAGGAGUGUGUAACAACUCACCGGCCGAAUGAAUUGG
rnacentral:rRNA from 1 species